AGAUCAUAAACUUAGGACCCA
rnacentral:misc_RNA from 1 species